UUUUUUAAGUGUGCCUCCACUUAUAUAAUAUAUUGUACUACCCAAAUUCUGAAUAAGUAAAAGAUCUCUCCGAAAAAUACAUAUGCAUGUUUUAUUCAAAAGGUAAGGAAUGAUGCGUCAUCAUCCCUAAUACACUUUAUUAUAGUAGUAGCAUCAAUUGAGGCAGAGAAGUUAAUUAGAUGCUGUCCUUAAUGGAUGCACUAUAACCGUUGUCAUAGAACCUGUUCCAAAGCAUAACUCCUCCGUACUUGGGCGAAUUCUUAAUCGUUGGAAGAACUUGUGACUUGAGAGCGUCAGCAGGAAUAAAUCCGCCGCUCGGAGCGGCCUCAGGAGCUGCCGGUAACCCCAUGAACACCUGGGUGGCCGGAACCGAGGCCCAUUGGUUCCAACUGCUCAAAAGAGCGUCGGCAUUACCGUCCGCAUACUGGCAUUGGGGGUUGUUGUAGAACUGGACCCAAACGUAGUCAAAUAAACCGGUUUGGAUAGCGCCGUCUAGGUGAGCAUCCGGGAUCGGACAUUGUGGAGCUGCGGCUAAAUAGACCGUUUUUGCCUGUCCGUUGUGUCCGUUGAGUGACUUGGCGAGCUCAUCAUAGAACUGCGCACCACCCGCCUCAAUGUCGAAAUCAACGCCGUCCAAAACCGCGUCCCCAAGCGGGCGCGAAGCUGACUGACCACCUAAGAAGUUGUUCCAGAUGUAAUCAGCAACUUGCCUUGCAUCAUCAGCUGAAGUGAGAGAGUAACUUCCGGCGGCCCCUCCAAUCGAGAGGAGGACUUUUAUGUUUUUUGAUUGGCAGGUUCUGAUGUCGGCACUCAGCCCGGUGCAAGUACCACUAGCGGGGUCGCAGUGGCCGGCGAGGUUUAGGACAGGGGUUUGGUUGUUUCCGAAAGUAGUGAGGAAAGCUAUGUUAACAAACUGGUAGUUGCCUGAGUUGCAAGCAUCUGCUAGGGUUCCUUCGUUUCCGUUUUGGCCCCAAUAGACCGCAAUUCCGGCGGCUUGGGAGGACUUGCAUGAAGAAAUGAGGAUCAAGAGGGACAGCGUUAGGGCUAGGGUUUGUGUUUUGGAUGCCAUUUUUAUAUGUUUUUUUGGGUUGUUGUUCAAAGUGCUUGGGAGUGGACAUGUACUUAUAGGUGCAGGGGACUUAUCGGUUAAGGUUUAGGGGAAGAAAAGUAUGACAGACGUGUUCUGCAGGUAAGAGUCUUCUGCUUGCAACCGCGUCAAUCACGUUAGGGCCUGUUUAUUUAGUCCAAGUUUCACUUUACAACUUAGAACACGUCAAUUAAAUUAGGUCGGGUUGAAAAUGCAUUUUCCAAAACCACUUUCACACAUAAGCGCUUCUUAUAUUUUCAUAAAAAUGCAAGUGGUUUUAUAAAAAAAAAAACUUGAGGUGUUUGGCGUGUGUUUUUUCAGAAAGCACUUAAAAUAUUUUUUCAACCUAAAAUCACUGAAUUUUUUAUGAUUUCAAAGUUCUUUUAAUUGUUUUGAAGGCACUUCCAACUGAUAUUUUAUAAAAAAUUACUUCUAGAGAGAAUUAUAGCAUGCUAAUUGAGAGAUUCCGAAACUAAAAAGCCAUCAAAUUUGCCAAAAAAAAAAUCUGAUGAGACAAUACGUGGAGAAUCAACACAGCUGUAUCAUCACCAAAAAUUUUCAGUGUGCAGAAAUACAGUCCGGUACAAAGUGUUAUAAUAAAAUUGGUUGAUUUUUUUUUUUAAGUUUCCAACUAAUUAUAUUAUUACACUUGAUGUACCGAUCCGUAUUUCUGAAAAAUCUCUCCUUACCAUCACAUCACAUGAAUGUUUUGGAAAGUUCGUAGAUAGAAACCAAAAUCUCUCCUUAUCAUCACAUCACAUCACAUGAACGUUUGGGAAGCUCGUCGAUAGAAACCAAAUGGAAUAUGCUUUUAGCUGAGGAUGGCCAUUGGCCAGGGACUUCGGUCUAAUCACGAUGCUUUAAUUUCGCAGUCGGAAAAAAACUUUCGAAUAAAAUUUAGGGUAUAUUUAGGAAGUGUUUUUAAAUGAUUGAAAACAUUUUUAGAAAUAUUUUUUUUUAAAAACGUUUCCAGUCAUUUAAAAAAACUUCUUAAACGAGUUUAAUUACUUGUGUAUGGGGCAACAUUUAGCUAGUAAUGGUUCUCAUGAAUUGGAUUGUGGUGAUGUGAAAAUGGGUUUGGGUUAGUUUAGUUUAGAGUUUAUAUUUACUAUCCGGUGCAUGCAAAUGGAAUGUCAAAUCUUUCAGAGAAAUUUUGAUAGAACUGCCACUUAGGGCAACACAUAUUAAACAAACAAAUGUAGGGUUGGAGAAGACUAAAAUACAUGAAUUCUCGUGUUUUCAUAAAUGUGAUCUAAAAAUAAUAUAGCAUGUGCCCUGAGAACAACGUGAUCAGUACCUAAUCGAAGUUCUCUAGUGUGGAAAGAUUCAAGAGGGGUGUGACGCUUCCGACAAAUAAAAAAUCACACAUUUUCGAAUUCGGAAAUGUAUAGAACAGAGCAGAUAUCACUAGAUGAAUGUUAACUGUUUUACAGAAAAUUUAUAAGACAAUUAGAGUUAAACAACAGAAGCUUGCACUUUAAAUGGUUAUGUCCAGCUGCUUUUGGUAUGUAUAUGCUUUUUCCAUGUCUCGAUGUAGUUCCAGUUCACUGCUCAUCAUCCUGGAACAAUGCUUUCGAAACAGAGCCGCACGGCUGGCUACUGUAUUCUCGGUAAUCUUCAUCGUCAUCACAGCUGCGUUGCGAGCAUGAACGUUUGAUUCCUGUCAUUGGGGUUUCACAGACUCUGUCAUCGCAUGAACCUCUAUGAUCCUUCCUUUUAAACAGCUUUCGAAGCGGAUUUGACUUUGGUUUCAAUGGUUUCAGCCGUUUGGGGGCCCAAACUCUCUGCAGAUCGGGCAUCCAUCUUGUGGAUGAAGCGAAUCUCCAAGCCCUCUCUCUCCUCUCUUGAGCUUCAAGUAACUUGCGAGCAUGGUCGUCCUAUUGUUUGAUCUCUUCGACGCUUGGUCUUCCAAUAUCAGUUUUCAGCGGACGAAGAGACUCACCUUCUGCUUGUAAUGAGUCCCAGAUUCUAUAACUUCCAUCCACUUCGACACUCUUCGGUUUUUCUUUACAGGAUCGAUUGCUAUCCUCACUGUUGAGUAAACUAUUAGGGAGUUCUUCCUCAUCAGCAAACAGUAACAAAUCCAUUUUCGUAUAGAUUUUGUGAACCACAUCUUCAAGUGUCUCACAGUACCUGAAAAAUGUCCAAAUUCAGGCUCUUGACAAUUUGACAAAGCAUUUCAUUGAAAAGGUUCAAUCCUUACUACCAUUAUAAUUUAUAAUGUGUUGUAUGGUUUACCUCGUAAUGGUGCUAAGUUAUUUCUACAGUUUUGGGGCAUUUUUUUUGCAGUUUCGGUGCAAUUUUGAUGCAGUUCUUUUUUUUUGCAAUUUUGCUGCAUUGUUGUUGCUGUUUUUGCUGCAUGUUCAUUGAUUAAUAAAAAGGUCGUACCCAGUGCACAAGGCUCCCUUGAUUAAUAUAUGAGAAAAAUAAGACUGUCAUAUGCUUAAAUAGGUGUAUAUUUUAAAUUAUACAUUUUUUUUUCAAAAAUCGAACCGAAACUGUUUGAAACCGUACCGCACCAAACCAAACGGUUUGGUUUCAUUUCAGUUUUGGCUUCAAAACUGCACCGAACCGCACCGCAAAAAAAUUUGGUUUCGGUUGCGGUUUCACUCGAAACCGCACCGAAGCGCACCGCGCCCACCCCUACAGGGGACUUGUCGAUGAAGGUUUAGGGGAAGAGAAGUAUGACAGACGUGUCUUGCGGGUACAAAAUGGGUGCCAGUCUUCUGCAUGCAUGGAACCGCGUGAACCAAGUUAGGGCCUGUUUAGUCCAAGUUUCACUUGACAACUUAGAAAUUUGUCAAUUAAGUUAGGUCGUGUUGGAAAUUCUUUUUUCAAAAACCACUCAUAAGUGCUUUUAAUAUUUUUCGUAAGAAUGCAAGCGUUUUUAGAAAACACACUCAAGGUGCUUAGCGUGUGCUUUUUUUUAGAAAGCACUUUUAAGUGUUUUUUCAACCUAAAAACACUUGUUUUAAAGACACUUCCAACAAACACAUAAUUAAUGGAAAAUUACUUCCAGAGAGAAAUAUAGCAUGCUAUUUGAGAGAUUCCAAAACUAAAAGCUAAAUAGUUAUUAAGCGUGACCUUAACCAAGGUGAAAUAAAAUAUCAAAUUUGACAAACAAUCUGAUGAACGUCAUAGCUAUAUGUAUAGUCAGUAGAUGAGAUAAUCAUGAAACAAAACGUGGAGAAUCAACACAGCCUUAUCAUGGCCAAAAUUUGUCUGUGUGCCAGAACCACGGCCUAGUACACUAAAAGUGUCAUAAUAGAAUUGGUUGGAAAUUCAUUCGGUUACAACUGACUCUGAAGUCUUUAUUUCUGCACAACCACAUAGUGAGAUGUUUGCUUACCAUGCAACCAUGAUGUCCAAUACUCUUGGUACCUCAAUCGUUGUCUUUACCAAAACUGGUUUUAUGGCUAUUCUAUUGAGCCAUUACCGACCUACCGGGAUCAUAUUUGCCUUCACGAAUGAGUGAGUUUUCAAUUUACCUGUCACAAAGGCAUUUAGUUAAAAUUUGUAACUGUAUCAGUCAAAAUAUGCUGUGAAAGUUCUAUUCAUUAGCAAGUACUUUGAUUGCCAUGCAGUAAGAGCAUACAACGGAGAUUGGCUUUGUAUCAAGGCGUAUGUCCAAUAUAUACAUGGAGUUCACAGAAGAUUCUGAAACAAGCUUUAGCAAUGCCUUGACUGUGCUGAAGGUGAUGUUUUGCUGCAGAUUUCCUAAAUUUAUGGCGACGUAUGCUAUUCAACCAUGCCAGCACUGAUGGUUCAUUUUCUGUUGUUCUGUUUGCAGGAGCAAGGAUUGGUAAAGGCAGGAGAAGAGGUCGCACUCGUUCAAAGUGGCAGGCAACCCAUUUGGCGGCUCCAAUCCACUCACAAAAUUCAAGUGCGCAAAAUUUAGGUGCAACGGAGAUGGAAUAAUCGCCCUCGUAACAUAGAUUUCUUCGUCUACACUACAAAAGUUUCAAAUGAUAGCUUUUGUGUUGUACUUCCAGCGGAAUUGUCGUGAUACUUUCUUCCUUUGGUUGUUUUUUUUCUUCUGUUGCACACUUUUGUGAUCCUAUCAAUGUGCUUCUUUUUGUUUCCGAUUUCCCCCUAGUUAAUUUUGGCGUAUGUUUUAGAACUGUAAGUUGUUAAAGUAUAAAUUUGGCAGUUUGAAUGCAAACUGUCUAAAUUUUUUUAAUAGUUCGAUUGAGGAAACAGAUCGUCACACUCACAUUCUAAUAUCCGCCGCUUACCGUUUGUCGUGUGGCCGUUUAACACUGACUAAGGUAGAUCUCACAUCAGAUCAGCACGGGACUAGGUUCCGUGCUCUUGUGAAAGUUAUUCUACGUACGACGUGAUUCUACACAUGGUUUGUGGUUUGGGCUUGAACCGGUCUCUACGAAAUGAGGCAGAUUUUUUGUUUAUUAACAAAGGUCAAAAGUCAAACAAAAAUUGUUGAUACAGACUAUCUUAAACAAAAUUAAACAACAUUCGCUUGAAUAAUUAUCAAAUUGACAAUGUCUCAUAGGUGAUGCUGUCCAUACACUCUUUUUAUUUUUCACUCACUCCUCCCAAUUUUUAACCGUCAGAUCGAAUAAAUUAAAGAUGAUCAAAAGACAAAAAUUAACUGAAGAUAUGUGAAAGAAAAAACAAAAUGUAUAUAUAGCAUCACCUAUCUUAUUAGGAUAAUGACAUCCGAUUUAUUUGAUAUAAUCUUUUAGGGAAACCAAAACGUUGAGUUACAAAAGUCAAACUCUUCCGAUGAUGGAAUAACUAUAUCCAUUUUUAUCAUCACAAAACUCGGACCCUAACAUCACACCACCAUACUUCGACGACUUCUUUAUCACCAGUAGAAUUUCCGAAUUCAGCAAAGCAGCCACAAUAUACCCACUUCUGGCCACCUCAGGAGUGGCCGGCAACCCCAAAAACAUCUUCCCUUUCUAAUACAUUAAUGAUGUCAGUUGGCGUCUUAACAAGAUGGGAGACUUUGGAGUCGCUUUAUUGGGAUCUCCCGAGUACUCGGUACUCUAUGUAUUUUAACCGUUAAAUCUUUGUUUAAAAAUAUAAAAAUCAAAUUCUAACAGUUAAAAUAUUCAAAAUAUCCAUAGUACCGCUCGAAAUUUUUUGAGACAUUAAAUGCAAUCCCUCCAAGAAAUCAUCUCAAAUUUUUUUGAGACAUUAAAUGCGAUCUCUCCAAGAAAUUAUUAGAUUAUACCGUAGUACCAUCUCAGCCGUGGUAGUUUCAUCCAAAGGCUAGCCUUUACAAUAUGAGCUAGCCAGCCUUCAUGCACACAGUGCCUGCCAAUCAUGUAAAACCAUUGACAAUGAUACAUGACAAUUUAUUUGGACCUAUAACUUCAUUUCAUAACUACAUCAGAUAACCGUUUAUGUGCAACUAUAUUUUAUUCAAUUUCAAAAAUUAGCAUAUGCAAUGACAUGUUUUAUCGUAAAAAGUACAAGAAAUUUUCAACGUAUCACAAAUACAAAGUGUUAUACCACAUGUCAUUAUAUAAAGAGAAAUUUUUUAUAUUUUAAGUCUGUCUCCACUUAUAUAAUAUGUGUUGUACCAUCCGAAUUCCGGAUCAGUAAAAGAUCUCUCCAAAAAUACAUAUGCAUGUUUUAUUCAAAAGGUUAGGAAUGAUGCGUCAUCAUCCCUAACGCACUUUAUUAUAAGUAGUAUCAUCCAUUGAGGCAGAGAAGUUAAUUAGAUGCUGUCCUUAAUGGAUGCACUAUAGCCGUUGACAAUGUCAUACUGCCUGCCCCAGAGCAUAAUUCCUCCGUACUUGGGCGAUUUCUUAAUCGUUGGAAGAACUUGUGACUUGAGAGCGUCAGCAGGAAUAAAUCCGCCGCCCGGAGCGGCCUCAGGAGCUGCCGGUAUACCCAAGAACACCUGGGUGGCCGGAACCGAGGCCCAUUGGUUCCAACUGCUCAAAAGAGCGUCGGCAUUACCGUCUGCAUACUGGCAUGGGGGGUUGUUGUAGAACUGAACCCAAACGUAGUCAAAUAAACCGGUUUGGAUAGCGCCGUCUAGGUGAGCAUCCGGGAUCGGACAUUGUGGAGCUGCGGCUAAAUAGACCGUUUUUGCCUGUCCGUUGUGUCCGUUGAGUGACCUGGCGAGCUCAUCAUAGAACUGCGCACCACCCGCCUCAAUGUCGAAAUCAACGCCGUCCAAAACCGCGUCCCCAAGCGGGCGCGAAGCGGACUGACCACCUAAGAAGUUGUUCCAGAUGUAAUCAGCAACUUGCCUUGCAUCAUCAGCUGAAGUGAGAGAGUAACUUCCGGCGGCCCCUCCAAUCGAGAGGAGGACUUUUAUGUUUUUUGAUUGGCAGGUUCUGAUGUCGGCACUCAGCCCCGUGCAAGUACCACUAGAGGGGUCGCAGUGGCCGGCGAGGUUUAGGACAGGGGUUUGGUUGUUUCCGAAAGUAGUGAGGAAAGCUAUGUUAACAAACUGGUAGUUGCCUGAGUUGCAAGCAUCUGCUAGGGUUCCUUCAUUGCCGUUUUGGCCCCAAUACGUCGCGAUUCCGGCGGCUUGGGAGGACUUGCAUGAAGAAAUGAGGAUCAAGAGGGACAGCGUUAGGGCUAGGGUUUGUGUUUUGGAUGCCAUUUUUGUAUGUUUUUUUGGGUUGUUGUUCAAAGUGCUUGGGAGUGGACUUGUACUUAUAGGUGCAGGGGACUUAUCCGUUAAGGUUUAGGGGAAGAAAAGUAUGACAGACGUGUUCUGCGGGUUAGAAAUGGGUGCCAGUCUUCAGCUUGGAACCUCGUCAAUCAAGUUAGCUAGGGCCUGUUUAGUCCAAGAAGUUUCACAUAAAACGCCGAUUAAGUUAGGUCGGGUUGGAAAUGCUUUCUUCAAAAACUACUUACACACGUAAGCGCUUCUUAUAUUUUUCAUAAGAAUGCAAGUGCUUUUGAAAAAAAACACUUGAGCUGUUUCGUGUGUUUUUUUCAGAAAAUACUUUAAAUGUUUUUUCAAACUAAAAAUCCAUUAAAGCUCCUUUACUUGUUUAAGGGCACUUCCAAAAUCAUAUUUAAAGAAAAAUUACUUCUAGAGAGAAUUAUAACAUGCUAAUUGAGAGAUCCCGAAACUAGAAACUAGAUAGUUAUAAUGAAGCGUGACCUUAACUGCUUAAUUAAGUGAAAAAAGCCAUCAAAUUUGACAAAAAGUCUGAUGAAAGGUCAUAGCUGUAUCAUCUGUAGAUGAGAUAAUCAUGAAACAAUGUGGGGAAUCAACACAUCCUUAUCAUCGUCAAAAAAAAAAAUUCACUGUGCUGGAAGCACGUUCAAUUGAACGUUUUGGAAGUUUGUGGAUAGAAACCAAAUGGAAUAUGCUUGUAACCAAAAUUGCUGGCUGCUAUAUACAUCUUGGAUUUUAGCUGAGGUGGCCAUUGGCCAAGGACUUUGGUCUAAUCACGAUGCUUUAAUUUCGCAAUCCAAAAAAAAAAUUCAGAUAAAAUUUAGAACACGUUUUGGGAGUGCUUUCAAAUUACUGAAAGCGAUUUUAGAAAGAAAAAAAAUGUUUAUAUAACUAAUCUUUAAUAAAAAUGCAAGUUAAUCCUCCAAAAGUACUGAAACUAGUGCUUCUUUGAUAAAACACUUCAAGUGCUUUUGGAGCUCAAAAAUAUUAUCUCAAGUGGUUUCAGUCAUUUAAAAACACUUUCUAAACGAGUUAAUGACUCGUGUAUGGGGCAACAUUUAGCAAGUAACGGCUCUCAUGAAUUGGAUUGUGGUGAUGUGAAAAUGGGUUUGGGUAAGUUUAGUUUAGACCAGUCAGCAGUGUUUAAAAUAUCCACGACAUUAUCGAUAUUUUCGUUGAAAUAUCCUUAAAAUUAAGGGUCCAUAAGCAAAAGAAGGAUGAAAUGCAAACUUCACCCUAUAUCGGCAAGAUACAAGAAAACAAUGAAUAUAGACAAUAUGUAACAACUCGUCCCAAGAUUUACUGUAUAUAAAUGGUAUUUUUGUAUUUUCAUCAAGUUUGGGAAUUUAUCUUCCUUUUAAAAUUUGUUUUUGGUCUUAAAUGGUGAUCCAAGGGGACCCACUCCCCUGAUUUUGUCCCCGAGCCCUCUUCUCUCUUUCUUCCUCUCCUCUUCCCUUUCCCCUUUCCCGUAUACUUCUAUUCCUCUCUUCUCUAUGAUCACACUCACACCCAGCUGCACUCCCUGCUCGAGGAAGACGCAAUCACCAUCUAAACCACGUCCCUUUCCUCUUCCUCUUGCCUCUGUGCAACUCGGCGAAACCAAGAAAAUAACCUCCGGCAAGUCCGACGGCUUUCGAAGCCAUUUCCUGCCAAACCACGGCGCGUUGGCCGGCGUGCAAGGUAUCAAUCUCUUCGUCCCGUCAAGUACUAUAACUUUUCUUUUUGUUUCACUCAAUUUAAUUGAGUAUUGAAGAAGUUAUACUCAUUUGAAUCUUACCCAGUUUCCGGCGACCUCCGAGGCUUUCGAGGAAAUUUCAGGCCAAACCAUGGCGAGUCAGACGUGAGGUAUCAUUCUCUUCGUCUCUUCCAGGACUACAACUUUCGUUUUUGUCUCGCUUGAUUUCGUUGAGUAGUGACAAAGUUAUGGCUGUUUAAAGUGGGGUGGUUUUCCGGCCGAAUUUCCGGCCUUCUUCUUCCUUGGCAACAGGCCACCCGGCCUUUCCCUCUCCCUCGGACCUUAGGCCCGUGUUGUCUUAAGCCCAAAACCCUAGCCUUUAGUUUUAAGUUUUAUUAUUUGGUUUUAAAACCCUAAAAAGGGCCUUGGGCCGGUGGUUUUUAAAAAGGGCUUAAAGCCCUGUUUUUCUUUAUUUAUUUUUAUUAAGGCCUUAAGGCCUUGUGAUUUUGUGCCCGUGGGUGUGUGUGUUAGGUGUGUAUGUGUUUAUGCAUGCACAUGCAUGCCGUGUGUGUGUGUGUAUUUGUAGUAUGUGUGUGUUUGGGCUAAAGCCCAAACCCCAAUUCUCACCCUAAAACCAUUUUAACCCAAAAUCCUAGGUUCCUAAAAUCCUUUAAAACCCUAAACCCAUCCAAUCCCAAAUCCCCUAUUUUAUUUAAACCUAAACCCUAAUCCGGAUUUCAAGCCUAAAACCCAUUUGACCGUUGACCCCCGGUCAACGUUGAUUUUAGGGUUGACUUUUCGGGUUUUCGUCCGGGACCCUUCUUAGGGUAAUUCGACGUUCUAAAUCCGUUUCCAAUGUCCAUUUUCCCAAAUUCAAUUGUUAUUAUAUAGUUUUAUUUAUUGGACUCUUUAUGUGCUUAGGGGCAAUUAUUGUGACGUUUCCAUCUUCGCUAGUGGCACAGCUUUUGGCAACUAAGUAUUGUGAGUGGACCCCUUCUAGAAUUACAUGAUUUGAUAAUUUAAUUGCAUAAAUGAUUAGCAUGCCUACGAAUUUAUGAUUUGAUUUAUGUGAAGCCUGAUGAUUUAAUAUAUUGAUUAUCGUCUCGGGUUUUGGUGAGGAAUUAUUUGUUAGCCUAUAUUGAGCUAUAUUUUAAUAUAUCGUAUUUUCUAUUAAAACCAUGAACUGGUAGACUAUCUGAUAGAUGACGAUAGGAUGCUAGAACAUGUUUUUGAACCCCUCUUUAUAGUGUAGACGAUGAUCGGUAACCUAUGCUAUGAAGUGGUUUUUUUUAGAGAGACGUAACUAUUUGUGCGUACCUAGUAGACACUAUGCCGCCUGGGGCAAGGAACUGGUGUUGGCAUUUAGGCCGGGAGAAAUAAUCCCUAGCGAAAGGCUGAGGGACACGGAGACAGGCAGUGGGCCAAGAGGGAGUUAUCUCUGGCUACGGGCACAGAGACUGAGGUGCAAGCAUUGGGCCGGGAGUUAUAUUUAUUCAGUGAUCUUUCUAGCAGCACACUGCGUUUACGAGACGAUUUAUGAUGCGUUUACUGUUUUGAUUUCCGCGAUGUUUUUCCGCGUUAUGGCGUUUGAGAUAUUUUUGGCAUACUAGGAUUUUUAUUAAAUCCAUCACUUAUUAUGCUAGUAGUUUUCAUUUAUAUAAACUUUGGGGGUUAGUAUGUUGAUAAUUGUUUUAUUAUUAUUGUAUAUAUAAACUUGGUCCACUCACCUUUGUUUUGCGCCCCCAUUCAGGACUUAGAAUCAAGGCACCUAAUCCCGGCGUGAAGACACUUUCGCAGCAGCAUCUUCGGAUCCUCUCGAUGUAGGACUCACUCCUUUACUCAUUAAAUUUUAUCUUAAUUCUUUUUAGUGAUUAGAUUUAGUUGUAUGCUCUGAGCACGUUCCUAAAACUUUUAACUCUUAGUUUUUAAAUUCAUAACACUUACUUAUUUCUUAUUCUUAGCUUUUGUAUCAAUUAAUGGCUUUCGUCACCCUCGGGUGUCGGCCAGCAUGUGUCUUCCUGGUAUUCGGGGAAUAUCAGGGUCGGGGCGUGUCACAAUAUUUACGGAUUAAUUACAAAAUUUUGCUAAUACCUAUUGCAGAUUUCGAACUGUAGAAUUUUUUUUAUAAAUUUUUUCUUUAAUUUCAACUAAAUCUGAAUGAGUACUUACCCCAUUGUAAAUUUCCAUCGAAGACUUUCCAACUAUAUCGAUAUUUUAAACACUGGUUUAGACCAACAUGUUUAAUAUCCAGUGCAUGCAAAUAGAAUGUCAAAUCUUUUUGAAAAACUUCAGUAUGACUGCCACUUAAGGGCAACUAGCAUAUUAAAGAGACCAAUGCAAAGUUGGAUGAGACUAAAAUACAUAAAGUCUCAUGUUUUGGUGAGAUGUGGUUUACAAAUGAUAUAGCAUGUGCCCUACGAAAAACGAGAUCGGAUUACCUAAUUGAAGUUUCUCUAGCAUGAAAAAUUCAAGAGGGAUGUGACGGUUCCGGAAAGUAAAAAAUCACACAUUUUUAUUAAUAAUUUUUUUGUUCGAAUUCGGAAAUGUAUAGAACUGAACAAAUGGAAUAGUGGCUCAGUGAUACCAACAAUUUCAUGUUGCAAAUUACAAAAAAAAAAAAAAAAAAAAAAAAAAAAGGAAAUGUUUUACACAAAAUUAAUGACAAUUAGAGUUAAACAACAGAAACUUGCACUUUAAAUGGUUUUUUUCUGCUGCUUUUGGUAUGUAUAUGCUUUUUCCGCACCGCUGGCUACUGUAUUCUCGGUAAUUUUCAUCGUCAUCCCAGCUGCGUUGCGAGCAUGAACGUUUGAUUCCUGUCAUUGGGGUUUCACAUACUCUGUCAUCACAUGAACCUCCAUGAUCCUUCCUUUUAAACAGCUUUCGAAGUGGAUUUGACUUUGGUUUCAAUGGUUUCAGCUGUUUUGGGGCCCAAAUUCUCUGCAGAUCGGGCAUCCAUCUUGUGGAGUAAGCGAACCUCCGAGCCCUCUCUCUCCUCUCUUGAACUUCAAGUAACUUGCGAGCAUGGUCGUCCUUUUGUUUGAUCUCUUCAGCGCUCGGUCUUCCAAUAUCAGUUUUCAGCGGACGAAGAGACUCACCUACUGCUGGUAAUGAAUCCCAGAUUCUAUAACUUCCAUCCACUUCGACACUCUUCGGUUUUUCUUUACAGGAUCGAUUGCUAUCCUAACUGUUGAGUAAACUAUUAGGGAGUUCUUCCUCAUCAGCAAACAGCAACAAAUCCAUUUUCUUAUAGAUUUUGCGAACCACAUCUUCAAGUGUCUCACAGUACCUGAAAAAUUCCAAAUUCAAAGAUUAAUCUAUCUGCUUAAGUUAAUUUUCCAUCUCAAACAAAAAUUGAUUGCCCGCACAUGUACUUCCGGAAAACUAAUUCCAGGAACGGAUUAUUUAAGCAACAUCGUUUCUUCAAGGAUCAUACUGUAGACAUACACUAUUGGCACAUUGCAAAAGUUGUAUAAACAUAUUCCACACUCGUUCAGAAAAACAUGGGUACGAUGUGCGCAUAACUGGCCUAUAUCCUGUCAAUCUACACUGAUAAGGAAAGACACUUUAACUCAUCUAAGAUUAUAAAGACAACCACUUUCCUUAUUUAGCAUUGUUGCAAAGGUAAGUAGGACAUGAUUUGUUAGAUAGGUAGUAAUAUCCCACAUGAAAGUGGAACACAGUGGCACCGGAAAUGUGUAUUUGUUGAGACAUGAACGAUAGACUGAAUGCAGCGUGUGCUAUAUAGCCUUUCAGCGAAAGCCAUAAUGCCUCAGUAAAACAUCCAUUAUAUAAAGUAAAGAAUAAUUUCAAGGGUAGGGGUUUUCAACUGUGGUACAGAUUUAUUACCUGCUUUUUAUGAUCUUUUCAACAUAAUCAUACACUCCAGUCACCAAAGAAGCCCUCCAGAUGACAUCGAAUUUUCUCCAAAAAGGAGCAAAUCUGUUUUACAGACUUCUGUUUUGUAGAUUCAGCAAUACGUGCACCAACCUCUGAUUGUAGUAUCUCCAUCCGGAAAAAUAUCUGCAAUUCAUAUCGUGCACGAGCUGGCGCAAGGAGGCGGCGAAGCACGAAGCCCGGGGCGGCGAUGCCGGGUCGAGGCGAAAUGCGGGGAGGGAAUUGAGGGUUUGGGAGAGGGAAUUGAAAGUGGGGCCGGGGAGGUGGAAAGAGAGGGAGAGAGAAGUGGGGAGCUUGGAGGAGGAGAGCAGCGGAGAGAGGGAGGAGAAGAAGGGUCUGAAGGCGAAGAGAGAGGCGGAGAGAGGAGGGAAAGAGAGGAUGGUUUUGACGGCGGCGAGGAAGGCUGUGAGAAAUGGAGCUGGGUUUUGGAGGUGGAGGAGUGGGUUGAGGCCUAGGAGGAGGACGAUGCGCUGCGUUUUGCCGUAGUCGGCGAUUGGGUCGCCGGAGCUCCGUUCAGAUGCCAUCGCAUUUGCAGGAGGAGAAAGAGACGGACUUGGGUUGCAGAGAAGGGAGAUGCAAAUGUGGAAUUAAGGAACAGUAAACCGAAUACGCAGUCGUUUUAGUAGAAAAACGACGAUACGGUAGAUGCUUGAGCGGGAAACCAAAUUUUGGCUGUAAAGGAAAUGUUUUAGGCCCCGUUUGGGAUUGAGGUGAUUUUAAAAAAAGCCACUGUGAAAAAAAGCUGAGGGUCAUUUUUGUGUUUGGUAAACUGAAAAAAGGGCUUAUUUUGGAAGCUGCUGUGAAAAUAAGCUGAAAAUCAAAGGAAAAGCUGAAGCUGCUAUUUGCUGCUUUGAAAAAAAGCCAGUUUUUUCAAAGCACACAGAGCUACAAUGCUCCUUUAAUGAAAAGACACACUAUCAUCCUGAUUUUUUUUCCAAAAGCACUUUCACAAAAAAGUUUACCAAACACUCUACUGCUUUAUUUCACAGCCGCUUAUUCUCACAGCACAGCCGCUUAUUCUCACAGCAGCUUUUUUUCAAAGCACAGCAAUACCAAACCAGCCCUUAAUCUCAUGAAGGACCUGUUUGGACUGCAUCUAAAUUUGUUAAAAGCGCUUUUAGAGAACAAAAGAGCUUUUGACAUCAGUUGAAAAAAAAAAAAUAUUUAAAGUACUUCUUCACGUGAAAAAAACACAUGGUUUUUAAUGAAAAUUCCAACAUGAUUUGAAUGAAAGUGCUUUCAAAAAGUAUUAUGAAUAGAUAUGCUUUUUUAUAUGCUUCUAUGAAAAGUGCUUUUUGCAAACAAUGUCGGGCUCGUUUGUAAUUACUUUUAAAAUGGUUGAAAGUGUAUUUCGUAAAAAUAUUUUUAGAAACAAUAUUUAGUAAAAUGCAAGUGAAUCCUAAAAAAAACACUUCAAGAAUAGAACAACCAAAGGGGCGAAAACUGUAAACCUCAUAGCAACCGAAUUACAAUUCGAGAACAUACCCGUUACUGAAUCCCAAAUCGCUGGUUCCCAAGUGUAGUCAUGCACAAGCUCGUUUAGAACCAAUAUUUUCUCUAAGAACGAUUUCAAUCAUUUGAAAAACAUUUUUAAACGAACUGAUGUUUUUAGGAGAAACACAAUGAGGAGCAAAUGAUUCCUAGGCGAGAAGAAAAACUAGACAGAAUGUUAAAUAGCACAUUAUGUACCAAUUUUUCUUCAACAAAUUGGAACUACUGAGAAGUUUGGAAACUAAAAAGUAAAGAUUGAUUCUAAGGAUUCUAACCCUGAUGAUUGCUUAUACAGUCGAACUACUUGAAUAGACUGGACUACCGAAGAUAAACUCAUACAUAUACGAAUUAUUAAAAAGUGAAAGAGGCUCAUCUCAGUUUUUUUUUUUUUUUUUAGUUGAAAGAAAAAAAAGGUAAAACAUGGAGAAGAUCAUGAACAGUAAUGGGUUUUAGUAUAUAUAAAUAUAAUUUGUAACUGUAUCUGUCCAAAUAUGCCGUGCAAGUUCUAUUCAUUAGCAGGUACUUUGAUUGCCAUGCAGUAAGAGCAUACAACGGAGAUUGGCUUUGUAUCAAGGCGUACGUCCCAUACACCUCUUUUAUGGGUGAUGCUGUCCACACACUUCUUUUAAUUACCAGUCGUCAUAUAGAAUGAAUUCAAGAGGAUCAAAUGACUAAAAUUAACAGAGAAUAUGUAAAAGAUAAACCAGAGUGUAUGGAUAACACCACCCUAUCUUAUUAGGAUAAUAACAUCCGAUGUGUUUGAUAUAAUCUUUUAGGGACUAACCAAAACAUUGAGUUACAAAAGUCAAACACUUCCGAUGAUGGAAGAACUAUAUCCACUUCUAUCGUCACAAAACUUGGACAAUAACAUCACACCACCAUACUUUGACGACUUCUUUAUCACCGGCAGAAUUUCCGAAUUCAACAAAGCAGCCGGAACAUACCCACUCUUGGCCGCCUUAGGAGCCGCCAGCAACCCCAAAAACAUCUUCCCUGUCUAAUACAAUGAUGUCACUUGGCGUCUUAACAAGAUGGGAGACUUUGGAGGGACUUUAUUGAGUACUCCAGAGUACUCAGUACUCUCAUUUGUUUAAAAAUAUAAAAAUCAAAAUCUAACGAUUAAAACAUCUAGAGUAUCCAUAUAUAGUACUGCUCAAAACUUUUUGAGACAUUGGACGUGAUCCCUCCUAGAAAUUAUUAAGUUAUACAGUAGUACACUUCAGCCGUGAUACUUUCAUUCAAAGGCUAGCUUUAUACUAAUAUGUGAUACUUUCAUUCCAUAUUUGAGAGCCAUUGGAUAAGUAUAAAGCUAACCUUUACAAUAUGAGCUAGUUAGUUAGCCUUCACACACACAGUGCCUGCCUAUCAUGUAACCAUUGACAAUGAUACCCGACAAUUUAUUUGGAGAGAGGGUCCUCACUCAUUUAUUUGGACCUAUAACUUCAUUUCAUAAUAACUCCAUCACAUCAUUUUAUGUACCAUAGUUUAUUCAAUUUCAAAAAUUAGUACACGCAAUAACAUGUUUUAUCGUAAAAUAUACGAGGUUUUUUAGUAUAUUAGAAAUACGAGAUGAUGCACCACAUGUCAUUAUAUAAAUGAAGAGAAAUUUUUUUUUUUUUUAAAUGUGCCUCCACUUAUAUAAUGUAUUGUACCACCCAAAUUCUGAAUAAGUGAAAGAUCUCUCCAAAAAAUACAUAUGCAUGUUUUAUUCAAAAGGUAAGGAAUGAUGCGUCAUCAUCCCUAACACACUUUAUUAUAGUAGUAGCAUCAAUUGAGGCAGAGAAGUUAAUUAGAUGCUGUCCUUAAUGGAUGCACUAUAACCGUUGUCAUAGAACCUGCUCCAAAGCAUAACUCCUCCGUACUUGGGCGAAUUCUUAAUCGUUGGAAGAACUUGUGACUUGAGAGCGUCAGCAGGAAUAAAUCCGCC
rnacentral:lncRNA from 1 species